rnacentral:lncRNA from 1 species
GAAGGCAUUUUACAAAAUUUACAAAUGAAAGGAAACAAAUUGGAGGUGGUGCAGACUCUAGGCUUUGGAUAAUGCAGCCUUGAAUAUAUGCUGCUGCCCUGACGGUGAGACACUGCUGAUAGUUUCUAAUACAGGCUGUGUUUUCAAAUUCAAACCACUGCUGAAUGGUAAAGUUGUCAAAGUUCUGGAUGCACUCUGUGGAGAUUUUGUGGCUGUUGCUCCAUUAUACACAGACAGAAGCAUUUGUUUGUCAGUCAGAGAAGCAGGAGACAUACAGCUGUGGGCUCUGGAUGAUGGACUUUGCAUGGGCUCCAUCUCUCUGCAGACACAUGUGACCAGUAUGGCAUGCUGCCCCAUAGCACAAUAUGUUGUUUUAGGGACAGCAACUGGAGACGUCCUGUUUGUGGAGAUGACCACAAAACAAAAACCCAGACUAGUUCACAGAGACUAGUUCUCUACCAUGUCCCUGUAGACCAUUUGGUGUGAGUUUCACAGCACCAUGAUCAUUUCUUGUGAAUUGAAGCAAUGUGAACUGAAUGUUGAGCAUACUGGAUAUUAUAUUUGUUCAACAGGUUUGAUCAAGGUGGCAACUUCUUAUUCACUGGAGCAUCAGACUCACGCAUGUUUGUGCUGAGCACAAGACCAUCAGAAGGAUUUGAAAUUAUUGGAUGGAUUGGUCAUUUUUAGGAUGACGUACACUACUGUUCAGUUCUCUCUUUUUGGGGUCAGUAAGUUUUUGUUUUUUAAAGAAAUGUAUACUUUUAUUCAGCAAGGAUACUUUAAAUUGAUCAAAAGUAACAGUAAAGAAAUGUAAAAUUACAGAAGAUUUCUAUUUCAAAUAAAUGCAGUUCUAUUCUGUUUAUUAAAGAAUCCUGAAAAAAUGUAGAUUGGAUUUCCUAAAAAGCACAAAGUGAGCAAGAGGGUUCUUUCAGAAACAUUCAAAAAUCUUACCAACCCCAAAUUUUUGAACUGUAUUAUAUUUAACUUUUUUGCCUAAAGUUUGAAGUAAUUUCUAAUGAGUCUUUUUACUUUUAUUUUUUUCUAGAGACUUCAGGUACCAUUGUAAGCCUUUCCACUCUGUACCACAAGGAAAAUAAACAUGUUGAAGUGCUGGUGCUACACAGCAAGACAGAGAGAGAAAUCAAUGAGGGAAAUGUGCUUCUGCUAAUGAUGUUAUUUGUACAGGAGCUUACAGGUAUCAGGAAAACACAAAAACACACCAUAAUUGAGGCUGGCAUGCAGAAAUCUUCUCAAAAAAUAGGACAAAUGAUAAACAUUCAAAAAUUCCAGCACUCCUUCUCAUAAUGUUAUGCCACUUCCAGACUCAAAAGAUUGUGUGGAUGUCUAUCGUCUGUGUAAAGACGUCCUGCACAGCUCCCUAUGUGAGAUCCCUCAUGCUCUCUGCUCUUGUGUCCUGGGCAUAAACAAGAUAUUUGGUUACAGCCAACAGAGAAAAGUCUUGCAAAGAUUCAGUAUCCCCGAGGUGCUGUAACAACAGAUGACACCUAUAGUAUAAUGACAGUUUUAUUUAGUGUUUUUGGCACUGCUCCUCUUCUCGUGAUAUACAGAGUGGAGAAAAGACCUCUAAUACCCAGAAAGCAGUUCACUUGAUACUAGAGAAGGAGGCAGGGGGCCAUUUUCUGAGUCCUGCUUUUCUGCAGCUCUCCCCACAUCAAACCUGGCUGGCUACAGUUGGUGGGGAUGGACUGCUGCACAUCUGUGAGAUCUCAACAAUGGUAUUGUUUGUUAAAACCAAUCUCUACAAGUUCAUCCAUGAGUACUGGGCUAGGAAAAACAUGUUUCUCGGAAACUGCCGAAAUAUGUGAUGUA